AGGCAACGCCGGUUGUUGGAAUUACUGAAGGACUAUGACAUUAGUAUUCAGUAUCAUCCCGGCAAGGUGAAUGUGGUGGCAGAUGUGUUGAGCAGGAAGGCUGUAACAUACCAGAUUUUGGUAUAAAAAUAAAAAUAAAUAAAAACAGUGUGAGAAACUAUUUUUAUUGAAUUUAGAGAAGUAAAACAUAAGUCAAAAGUGACUUGUGCUGAAAUCGGAAUGAAAACAGAAGAUUUAGAAUUUUCUGUUGGAAACAGGACAGAUAAAUUAGCAGAAAAUGCAAGUCUCAGAAAAUUAUGAAAACUGGAGGAUAAGCCAGAAUUAUUUUUAUGAGGCUAGAUUUAAAGUUUCAUGUCAUUCUGACACCCGAAAGGUGAAAAAUAAAAUCCCACAGCUAUCUGAUAAAGAUUACAGUUCGGUAUAGUUUUCGGUGACCAAACGGGGUCGAAACUAAAAUAUUAAAAUUUCUUUGGACUCGUUAAGUAAAACCAAACAUGACUGUCAAAUUUGAGCUCAAACGGAUGUUCAGGGAGUUCCGGCGAAAGAUAUCAGAUUUUGAACUGCCCGGAAGUGAAUAGUAUUUUGGGGUGUAAUGUAUAAAGAAG
rnacentral:lncRNA from 1 species